AUAUCAGUAAGGUGUAUCCUUACCCGAUUAGCCUUAGAAAUAAGGUGGUAGAACAUAAUGGUUGGAUUGAAGUAGUGUGUGAUUACAUUCCGCCUUCAUCAGGGCAUUGCAACCUCUGUUGAAUCCUGUCUGAG
ensembl:snoRNA U8 U8 small nucleolar RNA